rnacentral:misc_RNA from 1 species
CCGAGUUUACAACUCCCAAACCCCUGUGAACAUACCUCUCGUUGCCUCGGCGGCCCCCGGGCCGCCGGAGGACCCCAAACCUCUUGUCAGCCCCAGUCUCCUAUGAGCACAGCGCAAACGCAAUCA